ensembl:snoRNA
GUGACCUUGAUAUAACUAUCAGAAGUGUGCUACCCAAGCAGGAGCCUAAAGAAAUGUCUUUCUAUGGUCUGUUGGCCAUUUCAGAACUUAGGAAAUGUAACGGUCAAUUCAUUACAAAGAAACAUCU